CCUACGGGAGGCAGCAGUAGGGAAUCUUUCACAAUGGGCGAAAGCCUGAUGGAGCAACGCCGCGUGCAGGAUGAAGGCCUUCGGGUUGUUAACUGCUUUUAUAAGCGAGAAAUAUGAUGGUAACUUAUGAAUAAGGAUCGGCUAACUACGUGCCAGCGGCCGCGGUCAAACGUAGGAUCCGAGCAUUAUCCGGAGUGACUGGGGGUAAGAGUUGUGUAGGUGGCAUAAUAAGUAGCUAGGGAAAUUUGGUGGUUCAAACAUUCAGACUGUUAGCGAAACUGUUGAGCUCGAGACCGUUAGGAGUAACUGGAAUUUCUAGUGUAGGAGUGAAAUCCAUAGAUAUUA
rnacentral:rRNA from 1 species